rnacentral:rRNA from 1 species
UUGACGGGGCCCGCACAAGCGGUGGAGCAUGUGGUUUAAUUCGAAGCAACGCGAAGAACCUUACCAGGUCUUGACAUCCCCUGACAACCCGAGAGAUCGGGCGUCCCCUUCGGGGGACAGGGUGACAGGUGGUGCAUGGUUGUCGUCAGCUCGUGUCGUGAGAUGUUGGGUUAAGUCCCGCAACGAGCGCAACCCUCGACCUUAGUUGCCAGCAUUCAGUUGGGCACUCUAAGGUGACUGCCGGCUAAAAGUCGGAGGAAGGUGGGAUGACGUCAAAUCAUCAUGCCCCUUAUGACCUGGGCUACACACGUGCUACAAUGGUUGGUACAACGAGUUGCGAGUCGGUGACGGCGAGCUAAUCUCUUAAAGCCAAUCUCAGUUCGGAUUGUAGGCUGCAACUCGCCUACAUGAAGUCGGAAUCGCUAGUAAUCGCGGAUCAGCACGCCGCGGUGAAUACGUUCCCGGGCCUU